UGGGGAAUUUUGCACAAUGGGGGAAACCCUGAUGCAGCGACGCCGCGUGAGCGAAGAAGGCUUUCGAGUCGUAAAGCUCUGUCCUAUGAGAAGAUAAUGACGGUAUCAUAGGAGGAAGCCCUGGCUAAAUACGUGCCAGCAGCCGCGGUAAUACGUAUGGGGCGAGCGUUGUCCGGAAUUAUGGGGCGUAAAGGGUACGUAGGCGGUUUUUUAAGUCAGGUGUCAAAGCGUGGAGCUUAACUCCAUUAAGCACUUGAAACUGAAAGACUUGAGUGAAGGAGAGGAAAGUGGAAUUCCUAGUGUAGCGGUGAAAUGCGUAGAUAUUAGGAGGAAUACCGGUGGCGAAGGCGACUUUCUGGACUUUUACUGACGCUCAGGUACGAAAGCGGGGGGAGCAAACAGG
rnacentral:rRNA from 1 species